GAACUGCGAUAAGUAAUGUGAAUUGCAGAAUUCAGUGAAUCAUCGAGUCUUUGAACGCACAUUGCGCCCCCUGGCAUUCCGGGGGGCAUGCCUGUCCGAGCGUCAUUGCUGCCCUUCAAGCCCGGCUUGUGUUUUGGGUCGUCGUCCCCUCCGGGGGACGGGCCCGAAAGGCAGCGGCGGCACCGCGUCCGGUCCUCGAGCGUAUGGGGCUUUGUCACCCGCUCGAUAAGGACCGGCCGGGCGCCAGCCGGCGUCUCCAACCUUUUUUUCUCAGGUUGACCUCGGAUCAGGUAGGGAUACCCGCUGAACUUAAGC
rnacentral:misc_RNA from 1 species